AUCUAAAUAGUUUAAGGUUAAAAAUGUUGGUUUGUGGUGCCGAUGAUGUAGAUUUAUUUUAUUUUAGAUU
rnacentral:tRNA from 3 species